UAGCGUUUGAGUUCGUCUUAUGUUCGUUGUUUGACUUUUAAAAAUGCCUCUCGUCUGAAUUUGCUAAAUUAAAUAAGAAAUUAGAAUGUGUUCGAAGGCAUUGCAUUAGUCAUCUAUUCUCCUUACGGUUUGGGGCUGCCGCGAAAUUUGCGUCUUCAAAAGAUGGCAACAAUGUGCAAACGGCGGAAUGAGCUAGCUGCGUAGACUGGCACAGAAGAAGGAGACGUGGCUGUACUACCCAGAUUGCUGUAGAAUGUGGUUGAAGAACUUUGGGGCAGAGGAGAAAAUCGAUGGUUUGUAGUGGGAGAGAGACUUGCGGAGCUCUCUUCAGAGAAAGGAGGAAAACUGCUUCAAGGUGGGCAUGCUUAGAGACUUCACAGUGUUGGUUUUUAGUGACCUGGAGACAAUGAGGACUGCAGAUACUGAAAGCAUCCUGCCGAAUGGUUUCAACUUGAAACACUGACUUCCCUAAUCCUCAGAUGCUGUCUGACCUGCUGUGCUUGUCCAGCUCCACGUUUACCAAUUCCGUAGUUCCCUUCAAGGAUCAUUGCUGAACCCACUUCACUGCUUUUAUAAAAAAAACAGAAAUGGGUGGGAAAACUCCAGUAGGUCUGGCAGCUGCUCUUGUUUCUGAUUUCCAGCAUCCCGCAGUUUUUUUUCAGUUUUCCAUUUCAUUGCUUCCCACCCACAGAUAAAUCUCAUAGGGUCGACCAGCUAGGCAACUCAAAGCAAGUAGGUGAAUUAAGAUGUGAAAUGAUAAGAUUUAAGAAUGGUCCAACACCAUAUCUCACCUGCCCAAUUAAUAAGCUCUAAUCAGUCUUAAGUUUUGAAUGUUUAUCAUGUCAUUACAGGUAAUAGGGCAUCCUGCUUUGCACUGGCAUAAUGCCUGCCUGGAGGCCUGCGUUCAAGUCCAACCUUCUCCAGAUGUGUGUCAUUACAUGCUUGAACAGGUUGAUUACCAAUAACAAGAACAUAACAGGGCUGCCUGCUGAUGUCCUCCCAGGACCUCCAUCCCUGCUCCAUCUCAGGUGGUGGCAACAGAAUAUGACCCACGACCCUGUCAGUCAAUGUCCAAUGUCAGGGGAGGCUGUAGGACCCGUGCGGUGUGACCAUCUCCAACUCGGAGGCAGUGUAUGUGGAAGUAAUGGUGGCAGCAAAGGAGCACAUCACCAGGACCCUGGGGGACAAUGUCGGAUGACGGCAACUGGAAGAGCAGAGAGGGAAAGAUGAAUGUUUGAAGCUCUUUCAGUUUUAGUAAUAUCAACUUAAUAUUAAUUUAUUCGGUUUUCUUUAUUACCAUUUACACAACAUAUUCAGCCAUUUAUUCUGUUAUCCAAGAUGGUGCUAGAACGGGGGACAUUAUCCACUUUUCACUGUACCUAGAUACUAGCGAUAAUAUGUGGAAUAAAUAACAUUCCAUUGUGCCCUCAGCUAGAAGUGUGCUCCUGCAGGCUUCUAAGAACACAAAGAAUGCAUUUGGCUGUGACAAUCAAAUGACCUGCCAAUACGCGAUGUCAUGGCAACACAUGUGGUGGUUCAAUGAAGCACUUUUCCUUUAAUCAGUUAAAGUAUAGAUGAAGGAAAUGGAAAAGGAAAGGUCAUACUAUGAUCAGCAAGUAUCAGUGAGAAAGACUUAUACAUAUGGCACUUGGUGCCUUGAAUUUCGUUUUUGCCAUUAUAAUUACAUGUUUGCACAGCUUCUCCUGGCUUAUAAUUACUUCUACCCCACCC